rnacentral:rRNA from 1 species
CAGCAGCCACGGGAACACGGAGGGGGCUAGCGUUGUUCGGAAUUACUGGGCGUAAAGCGCACGUAGGCGGCUUUGUAAGUUAGAGGUGAAAGCCUGGGGCUCAACUCCAGAAUUGCCUUUAAGACUGCAUCGCUUGAACGUCGGAGAGGUGAGUGGAAUUCCGAGUGUAGAGGUGAAAUUCGUAGAUAUUCGGAAGAACACCAGUGGCGAAGGCGGCUCACUGGACGACUGCUGACGCUGAGGUGCGAAAGCGUGGGGAGCAAACAGGAUUAGAUACCCCAGUAGUCCCUGUCUCUUAUAC